rnacentral:rRNA from 1 species
CCUACGGGUGGCUGCAGUAAGGAAUAUUGGUCAAUGGACGCAAGUCUGAACCAGCCAUGCCGCGUGGAGGAUGAAGGUCCUCUGGAUUGUAAACUUCUUUUAUUUGGGAAGAAACCCGAGAUUUCUAUUUCGGUUGACGGUACCAGAUGAAUAAGCACCGGCUAACUCCGUGCCAGCAGCCGCGGUAAUACGGAGGGUGCAAGCGUUAUCCGGAUUCACUGGGUUUAAAGGGUGCGUAGGCGGGCAGGUAAGUCAGUGGUGAAAUCCCCGAGCUU